rnacentral:rRNA from 1 species
CUAAUACAUGCAAGUCGAACGGGAUCCAGAUCAAAGCUUGCUUUGGUUUGGUGAGAGUGGCGCACGGGUGCGUAACGCGUGAGCAACCUACCCUUGUCAGGGGGAUAGCCCGGCGAAAGUCGGAUUAAUACCGCAUGACAUCAUUGAGAGGCAUCUUUCUAUGAUCAAAGAUUUAUCGGACAAGGAUGGGCUCGCGUCCCAUUAGCUAGUUGGUGAGAUAACGGCUCACCAAGGCGACGAUGGGUAGCCGGCCUGAGAGGGUGAACGGCCACACUGGAACUGAGACACGGUCCAGACUCCUACGGGAGGCAGCAGUGGGGAAUAUUGCACAAUGGAGGAAACUCUGAUGCAGCGACGCCGCGUGAACGAUGAAGGCUUUCGAGUCGUAAAGUUCUGUCCUUGGGGAAGAUAAUGACGGUACCCGAGGAGGAAGCCCCGGCUAACUACGUGCCAGCAGCCGCGGUAAUACGUAGGGGGCGAGCGUUGUCCGGAUUUAUUGGGCGUAAAGGGUUCGCAGGCGGCCUUUUAAGUCAGAUGUGAAAGAUCACGGCUCAACCGUGGUAAGCAUUUGAAACUGGAAGGCUUGAGUUAAGGAGAGGAAAGUGGAAUUCCAUGUGUAGCGGUGAAAUGCGUAGAGAUAUGGAGGAACACCAGUGGCGAAGGCGA